rnacentral:rRNA from 1 species
UGGGGAAUUUUGGACAAUGGGCGCAAGCCUGAUCCAGCCAUGCCGCGUGCGGGAAGAAGGCCUUCGGGUUGUAAACCGCUUUUGUCAGGGAAGAAAUCUUCUGAGUUAAUACCUCGGGAGGAUGACGGUACCUGAAGAAUAAGCACCGGCUAACUACGUGCCAGCAGCCGCGGUAAUACGUAGGGUGCAAGCGUUAAUCGGAAUUACUGGGCGUAAAGCGUGCGCAGGCGGUUUUGUAAGACAGAGGUGAAAUCCCCGGGCUCAACCUGGGAACUGCCUUUGUGACUGCAAGGCUUGAGUGCGGCAGAGGGGGAUGGAAUUCCGCGUGUAGCAGUGAAAUGCGUAGAUAUGCGGAGGAACACCGAUGGCGAAGGCAAUCCCCUGGGCCUGCACUGACGCUCAUGCACGGAAGCGUGGGGAGCAAACAGGAUUAGAUACCCUGGUAGUCCACGCCCUAAACGAUGUCAACUGGUUGUUGGGAAGGUUCCUUCUCAGUAACGUAGCUAACGCGUGAAGUUGACCGCCUGGGGGAGUACGGCCGCAAGGUUGAAACUCAAAUGAAUUGAC